UACAGAGGUCUCAAGCGUUGUUCGGAUUCAUUGGGCGUAAAGGGUGUGUAGGUGGCGCCGUAAGUGGGGUGUGAAAUUUCGAGGCUUAACCUCGAAACUGCAUUCCAUACUGCGGUGCUUGAGGACUGGAGAGGAGACUGGAAUUUACGGUGUAGCGGUGAAAUGCGUAGAUAUCGUAAGGAAGACCAGUGGCGAAGGCGGGUCUCUGGACAGUUCCUGACACUGAGGCACGAAGGCCAGGGGAGCAAACGGG
rnacentral:rRNA from 1 species